rnacentral:rRNA from 1 species
CUGCUGCCUUCCGUAGGAGUCAGGGCCGUAUCUCAGUCCCAAUGUGGCCGGCCAACCUCUCAGUCCGGCUACUGAUCGUCGCCUUGGUGGGCCGUUACCCCACCAACUAGCUAAUCAGACGCGAGUCCAUCUCUCAGCGAUAAAUCUUUGAUAUAAGUGCCAUGCGGCACCUAUAUGUUAUGCGGUAUUAGCAGUCGUUUCCAACUGUUGUCCCCCUCUGAAAGGCAGGUUACUCACGCGUUA